UUAACAAUAUCAGUGUUUUCAAUAACGAAUCAAAGCUAAAAGAAAGCAGAUAUACUUUACCUUGAACAUGAUUUAAAAGGUAAUAUAUCAACCUCCUUUAGGUUUUGAUUUGUUAUUCGCAAAAUCUGAAACCAAAGCUUAUUACUUAUCGUACCAAACUACGAUAACAUUACAUGA
rnacentral:miRNA from 1 species